CCAUCUCUUUUGUCUCAUUUUUGGGGUUUGGGGAUAAUUCGCAAGGUGUUUUAUUCGGCAAUCGGAAAUUUAUUGCGUUUGUAUGAACAUAGGGCUUAUCGCUUAAUACAGCUCAUUGAUUAAUGCGAUUGCUUUUUUAGUGAGCUCGUUUAACUGUCUAAUAUUGGAAGUAAUUAUUAUUGAUAAGUGAUGGAUACCUCGCAAAUUUUAUAUGAAAAAGUAUUUAAAUUUUAAAAAAUAUUGGUAAAAAUUUAAAAGUGUAUUACAACGUUGGAAAAAACGACGUACAUUUCAUACCUAAUUGUUUUCGCAUUCUUCACACUCUCUAUGGAGCACAUUAUAUUACUUGCGUGUUCCGAUCGCUAAGCAGAACCAAUCUUGUUAGGGCUAAAGAUACGGAUUACUGAAUAUAUGAAUAAGAGAAAUGCCAGAAUCGUCAUGAAUAACACAGAUCAUAGCAAUAACACCCAAUUCGCUACGUUCGAUUAUAAGACUAGCAGCUAUGAAUAACAAACUAUCGACAUUUCAGACAUUGGAAAUAGAUUGCCGAGCCAUAUUUCAUAAAUAAUAAAAAUGUCGACUGUAAAGCACUCGCCACUGGCGAAAUAUCCGAAACGAACAACCUCCUCCAAACUUACAGAAGUCUUUGGGCCAUGUGCUUUGCCAGCACUUUUUGGGGAGGGGGAGGGAAAAAGGGAAAUAGCGAAUUCACAAUCGUAAAACGAUAAAUUCUGCAAUAUCUGCACAUAAAACUUAUUUAUGUUUGUUCAUAUUAAACUAUGUAAAUCUGCAGCCGAGCUGCCUCCGUCUGAAAGUGUUUAGAGAGUCGAGUGCACCUCUGGAAAUUGUAUCUAAAUUUAUGGCGCGCCAAAUUUGAAUUUAUAAUGACAGAAAACAAAUGCAAUUUCGCACACUUACACACACAGGCACACCAGGCACACACACACCCGUAGUUCGAGGAACUAUGGCAGUUAAUCAGAGUCAAAGUUGUUGUGCUCCCCAUUUCCCCCACUCACUUUAUCCAAACUAUCUCUCUUCGAACUGCCGUGAGACUCAUAAAUUUUCAUUUUAAUUUGUUGAGCGCAUUUUGUUCGUAAAGAACGGAAGCAGUUUAUGGCACCAGCACGAUGAGUACAUUCAUUAACUGGGUAAUUUGAAAUAGCGUUUUCGGAGCUUACGUGAUUUACUGAUUUCGGGGGAGAGCCCCAGCAAUCUCCAUAUUGGUCGUGUGAAAGCUUUUCGGUGGCGCAAAUGAGGCAAAACCCAUAAAUCAACGGAUCGUAUCUGAAUACGAGGCCCGUGAUGAACUGGUUCCGGUGCCAAGUGACUGACAGAUUCUGCGAGUCUAGGAUUCAUGUCUCUUAAGAGAUGAGGCUUAGGGUAAUGAGAUGCACAAAAGUGGAAAAAUAUUUCCUUUUCACUACCAAUACUUUUCUAUUUUAAAGACUCAAGUUCGAUUUAGAGUGUACGUGCGACUCUUUUAGUUAAUUUAUGUUUACGUGUCUGUCGGUAACUGACUAGCCUUCUUCUUCAGCGCUUUAUCUGCGAUACUAUCUGCGAAUAUAUAAAUUAUUCAAUGAUUAAUGGCAGCUGCUUAUAAUUAAUUAUAAUAAAAUCAAAUAAACUAAGCCUGACAGCUGUCAGUGUCAUCAUUUGUAUAUCUUUUAUGUGGCGCCCCAUAAAAGCUGAGACAGAGACAGAAAGAGAAACUGAAACAGAAAGAGAGAUCUUCAAAGUGACUGUUGAUAAUUUGCUGUCACACGUUGAAAAAUUACAAAACUUUUCGCCCGAAGAAGGCAGCGGCGUCGCAAAAUGGAAAUAAAUGCGACCGGAGCUAUCUGUUGGGCAAUAACUCAAAAUCUGAAAACUGAAAACUGAAAUCUGAAAUGUGAACGUGAAAGUCAGCUUCGGUUCCAGUUCCAUGUCAGAGCUUAACAUGAGCUCAAGACCAGUCAGUCAGUCAGUCAGUCGGAUAGCCAGACAUUCAGACAGUCGGACAGUUAAACUGACAGAGCAGCAGAAAAAGUCAAGCGGCCAUUUAUGCAGUCCGACGUUCAUUUCAGUUAACCACAGGCUGCUUGCCAGCCAACGGUUUGGCUUGGCUUGGUUUGGUUUGGGCCACCAAAUAAACCCAACACAACUGCUCGGAUCUGGCAGUUAAAGUGUGCGCUUGACAUAACGGCUUCGUCUCAGGCUUUUCCCCUGCGAAUUUUCCCCCAAUGGGCCGGGGACGGCCAUUCUUUGGGCCUUGUGCUUGCGUGUGGCUCUAAUUAAAGUGUCAUCAACAGCUGAAAUGCCGGGCUACAACAAAUGAGUCGAGUAGAGUUGCCCCAACGUGUUAUGCUGGUGAUAAAUUGCCAUGUCUAGAGCUGUCAUGUUAAUUUUUUGUACUCGCACACAAAUAAUAGUUUUUGUCCAAAGUGUUAAUUAAUUCUUGGAACAUUUUAAAUAUGUGAAAUGCCAGGCAGACAACCGACGUACAAGAUGUACAGCGAUGUAUGGCACUCUAAUUGGGGUUGGGCUGGGUUAAAAGUCAAUUUACACGAGGUGUAUACAUUUGGCAAAGCCAUUUGGAUGCUUAGCAAUACAGAUAGUAAGAUAGAAAGUAAGAUAGUAUGCUAGAAAUACAGGAAGUUCAUAAAAUUCCGCCUGAAAUAAACUGAUUGUUCCAUUUUAAGCCUACUUUUUAGUCGCUUCUUAUCAGCGUUUAUAAAUAAAGUAUUAGUCACUAAUCAAAUCAAAAUGCCCAAUAAAUUCCAGCAAAUCAAUCAAUCGAUCAGUCUAACAAUAGCAUCGCUUGUUAAAAUUGCAAUGGGACCGAAUUUGGUAUAGAUUAUCUGCGAAACACUUGGGUUCGCGGAGAGAUAAGAAACCGAUUAGGAACAGACUUAAAAAGUAUACAGUCACUGGAUCGAUAUCUGUGGCAGUUCAUUAAUAAAUUUAUGACAUUUUAUGGUGAGGCCAUAAAUUUAACGAUCCAAUUUCGUUAAUAAGCAACUAUAAAUAUAGAGUAUGAAAUAGAAAGAGCCAUAAAACUUGAACAGCAGCGUCCAGCACAAUGUUUCCGUUUCGCCCAAACAAUAUUACUGCCGUUUAGGGGCACAAUCAAACGGCAUUUAUCAGUUAAAACUCGGCCCCAUCGAAUCGUGCAGGCAACACCUCCGAAACCCCUUUCGAUUGAAAACUAUAGUCAUAACCAUUCACGGCAAAUAUCAUUUUGAAAACUAAAUGCUUGCGUAUGUACAAAUUGAAUGGGUGAAACUCAAUGAAUUCAUUUAAAUGCACGCGAGGCGGCAACUAUGAUAAUGAAUUGCAAUCGCCGCUUUAACCGCAAAAUAAUAACCCGUUUUUUAUGUAUUUUUUUUUCUCCAUAGAGUUAAGUCGCGGCAUUACAAAUUAUGGCCCGAGAUAAUCGAUUUGGGGGAAGGGGGCUGAGAGGAGGGUCGAAUGUGGGUUAUAAAACAGUCAAAGUCAAUAAUCGUAAAAUGCUCCAACAAAUUAACCAAUAAAUUCAUAUAGAAGUAAUCAAAUUAAUGUGCCCGCUGAUAACUGUCAAUUGCAUUAUCACCAUCGCCAUUAACAGCAUCAUGAGAUGUGUCACAAACUUAAUUGUACGAAUAAACGGGUUGCGCCAGGUUUUAAGUAUAUGCACAAUACUCACUCAGUACCUUCGUGUUAUUUUAGAAUACAAAAGAAUUGCAUGCCAUAUAUAUCGAUAUUUAAAAUGUAUUUAUUGCUACUUAAAAAAGAUUCCGUUUAAAAGGUUUCGGUACUUGCCGCCCCAUAACGACCUUAAUUAUGUCCAAGCACAUGCUUAUGACCAUGUCGCCAUGUGACAAAGGGGUUUUACUUUAAGCAUUUUCCCAAAUUGGUUUUAAAGCCGAGGCGCAGAGUGAAAAAAUCCCAUAAUUCCCACAUGUCCAGCGAAACGCUUGACCGUUACGGCGGCAUUCUUAAUGCCCUGGUAAUCUGGUGAAAAUUAAAUGGGUUUCAAAUGGUAUCAAUCAUUAAGUUGGUUACGGGGCGUAUGAGUGAUUGGCUUAAGAUUGUGUAUAAAUAUUAAUCAGCUGGCCGCCCAAAUGCUCAUUCACCAAGACCCCCAAAAAGAUCAUUGGAAAAAAGGGGGCUUUCACAGCUCAGCAAAACAUUUGAUACUAAGUGCACACAAAUUGCUUUUGAAGCUCUGAAAUUCUAAAGAAACGCAAGGCAUUCAAGAAUGUUCAAAUUUAUGGGUUUCUCUGUAAAAGGCAGCCAGUGGGGGCUCAUAAAAAGUCUAUUUAAAGAAGUAGGCUAAAAUGUAAGGCUGAUAAGCCCACGAAGCGGUCAAACUGGCGCCUUUUUUGGGCUUCGAUUGGGCAGCGACAAUUUCAAUCAAAUCAAACCGCUGAAUGGGCGGAAAACAAAUAAACAAUCAAUCUCAAUCACAUCAAUUAUGCGCUGAAACAACUUGUGAGCUAUCAAAGCCCUCUCUUAUCAUCGGGUAUUCCGUUUAUUUCCGUUGGUCGCGCUGCAGACACUUUUUUUCGGCUGUAUUUGUAUUUUUUUAUUUAUUCUAUCGCGAUGUUAAUCAUUUUAAUUGGCGCCACUUGAACGAGUCGCACUCUGUGUGAGUGUCUGAUUGGUGUCCAUUAAUUUUGUGGCAGUCAUUUGAAAGCGUUUCAAAUUACUUUUCGUGUUGCAAGCUGGUCUCAAUUUACGGCGAGCAACGAAAGUGAAAGUGACUUUCGACCGAUUGCGAUACAGAAAUUAUGGCCCGGUCGUCACACUGCGCAACAAUAGACCAAAAGAAAUUAAAUUCCUCAUAAAUAAUCUUCAGAUUUAAAUAUUUACAGCUUGCCUUUAAAGCCGUGCUACUUUUUAGGAUACACCAAAAAUGAUUUGGAGAUAACAUUUUAUUAAAUGUAAAGUUUUGCUUACUAAUAAAUGAAAUUAGAUGUGUUCCUUCAGGCUGGAAACUGACUGAUUAUUAUUAUUUUUCGCUUGCAUCGAAAAAUUGAAUUCAAGCCUUCAAAGGCGACUGACACUUGGCAGAAAUGUUAUCCCUACUUUGUUUAAUUUUGUUUAUGGGCACAAAAAACAAUGAAAUAUGCCCCAUCAACAAAAGGGGCGGAAAAGUUCAUUUAAAUACAAACUGACAUGUGUCAAAGUGACACUUUUUGAUUGCUAUUCGGUUACAAAUUUCUAGCUCUUCUUGGCUUUCGUUUUUCUUUCGCUUUGUUGUCUUUCGACUGCCGUUGACACUUUCCCCAACCCCACCCCCCGCCCAUAUAGACAGGCAGUACUUGUGACACUUCAAGGCAAAAAUGGCAAGGUUGAAAUAUACAAAACGAAAA